AAGUUCCUGAACUUCAACCCUUCAUUUAUUUUUAACCACAGCUCCAAAUGAGCCCCUCCGAGAGAGAACUGUUUCCGGCAAAUCUUUUCGCGGCUUCACCGCACUCCUUCCCGGUGCCUUCUUCACCCCCAGGAAAGCCACAAUACCCACUUGCAUGAUAGUCAUGCAGUAGCCAUGGUUUUCAACUUGAAUAUUUAUUAAAUGUUUGCUUGUUUAAAAUA